rnacentral:rRNA from 1 species
GACGAACGCUGGCGGCGUGCUUAACACAUGCAAGUCGAACGGAAAGGCCUGCUUUCCCUUGUGGAUUGCGGGUACUCGAGUGGCGAACGGGUGAGUAACACGUGAGUGAUCUGCCCCCAACUUGGGUAUAAGCCUGGGAAACUGGGUCUAAUUCCCGAUAGGACUGCAGGGUGGUGCCUGUGGUGGAAAACGAUUUUCUAGUGGUUGGGGAUGAGCUCGCGGCCUAUCAGCUUGUUGGUGGGGUAAUGGCCUACCAAGGCGGCGACGGGUAGCCGGCCUGAGAGGGUGGACGGCCACAUUGGGACUGGGAUACGGCCCAGACUCCUACGGGAGGCAGCAGUGGGGAAGAUUGCACAAUGGGCGGAAGCCUGAUGCAGCGACGCCGCGUGGGGGAUGACGGCCUUCGGGUUGUAAACUCCUUUCGACCGCGAGGAAGCCACCUGGUUGGAAGGGUGGUGACGGUAGUGGUAGAAGAAGCACCGGCUAACUACGUG